rnacentral:rRNA from 1 species
CAGAGGGUGCUAGCGUUGUUCGGAAUUACUGGGCGUAAAGCGCGCGCAGGCGGGUCCUGUAAGUCUGGAGUGAAAUCUCACCGCUCAACGGUGAGGCUGCUCUGGAUACUGCGGACCUGGAGACCGGUAGAGGCUGGUAGAAUUGCAGGUGUAGCGGUGGAAUGCGUAGAGAUCUGCAAGAAUACCCGUGGCGAAGGCGGCCAGCUGGGCCGGUUCUGACGCUGAGGCGCGAAAGCGUGGGGAGCAAACAGGAUUAGAUACCCUGGUAGUCCACGCCCUAAACGAUGUCAACUGGUUGUUGGGUCUUUACUGACUCAGUAACGAAGCUAACGCGUGAAGUUGACCGCCUGGGGAGUACGGCCGCAAGGUUG